CUGUGGGGAUUUGUUGGGGAGAAAUGAAGUGGAUGUGUGUGUCGAUCCCGCCAGCUGUUACAAUCAGUCCCUCACCCGCGAGCGCUUCGGUGGCAGGCCCCACGCAUAGAUUGUUGUCUACACCAUCUUGCAUGUCUUUGUUGCCAGCCUUGCCAAUGCCCGCAAUCUUGCCAUCCUUAAUGCCAAUAUCGGCUUUGUAAAUGCCGGUAUAAUCCACGAUCAGAGCAUUGGUGAUGACCAAAUCCAACUCAUAGGAGCUAGGGCUGUUAGUUUGCCCCAUCCCAUCUCGAAUGG
rnacentral:sRNA from 18 species